GAUGAACGCUAGCUACAGGCUUAACACAUGCAAGUCGAGGGGCAGCAUGGUCUUAGCUUGCUAAGGCCGAUGGCGACCGGCGCACGGGUGAGUAACACGUAUCCAACCUGCCGUCUACUCUUGGACAGCCUUCUGAAAGGAAGAUUAAUACAAGAUGGCAUCAUGAGUCCACAUGUUCACAUGAUUAAAGGUAUUCCGGUAGACGAUGGGGAUGCGUUCCAUUAGAUAGUAGGCGGGGUAACGGCCCACCUAGUCUUCGAUGGAUAGGGGUUCUGAGAGGAAGGUCCCCCACAUUGGAACUGAGACACGGUCCAAACUCCUACGGGAGGCAGCAGUGAGGAAUAUUGGUCAAUGGGCGAGAGCCUGAACCAGCCAAGUAGCGUGAAGGAUGACUGCCCUAUGGGUUGUAAACUUCUUUUAUAAAGGAAUAAAGUCGGGUAUGUAUACCCGUUUGCAUGUACUUUAUGAAUAAGGAUCGGCUAACUCCGUGCCAGCAGCCGCGGUAAUACGGAGGAUCCGAGCGUUAUCCGGAUUUAUUGGGUUUAAAGGGAGCGUAGAUGGAUGUUUAAGUCAGUUGUGAAAGUUUGCGGCUCAACCGUAAAAUUGCAGUUGAUACUGGAUAUCUUGAGUGCAGUUGAGGCAGGCGGAAUUCGUGGUGUAGCGGUGAAAUGCUUAGAUAUCACGAAGAACUCCGAUUGCGAAGGCAGCCUGCUAAGCUGCAACUGACAUUGAGGCUCGAAAGUGUGGGUAUCAAACAGG
rnacentral:rRNA from 1 species